GUGAUAGUAAAAGUAGGAUCUAAAUUAUAUGCUACCGGUGCUACUGUGCUAAGAAUAAGCCAGGUAAGCUAUCAAAGGAAACUACCCUGCUGCUGCUGAACAAGAAACGACUUCUUCAGUGGCAGUGUAAUACUACUACUAGUGCUACUACUAUGGCAGUCUAGUAUUUCUAUACAACUAUUGUUACUACACUCCACUGCUACAAGUAUCCGUGACGAGUUAAACUCGGUCGGUAGGCAACCCCUCUAACUCACAAGGACUCCACCAGGUUUCCGAGGACGGUACCCUCAAGCGGUAAUAUCUUACAGCUACGUCUCACUUCAACGAGCCGGGAGCGCUUGUAAAUAUAGCAGCGAGUGAAUUAACGUCGCUUCAAUACGAGGACUUCUCUUGGGAGAGGAUUCACACAGGUCCAUUUACAGUGGCAAGGGUAUCAAUAGUCAAGGACGUGUUCAUAAGCAGAAAAGGUUCAGGCAGGUAGAAAAGCAGUCAGCUGUAAGUACAAGCGAAUGCAAAUGUGAAACGGCAUUUGAAGUUUUGCAAUUGUGGGACAACGCGAGUGCCGAGUGACGUGUAAAUAAAUGUGCAAGUUUACCUUAUUGUUAUGAAGUGCACAGGGCACAGAGUAACGAGGAAUUAAAGAUAGCCAGUGACAGUGUAACUCUUGAGUGCGUGCAGGUUAAAGGCAGCUUGGAGUUUUACGCCGGGAUAAUUGCACGUCUCGUCGUCGCUCGACCCAGGUGCACGGAAAGUCGAGAGCGGCACGGCGAGUCGCGGCCGAUUUUCGUAUUUUACGAUCCUGUCAGUCUAGACGAUCUUUCUGUCAGACAUUUAAAGAUAUAUUUUAGCUUAGCCAGUUGAUGGCCGACCUUCUGUAAAGGGACGUCGGAUUUCAGUGUCUGCCCUUCGGACUGUGCCCACCUUCGCGCCGCGCAGGACGUCGUAAUACAUAAGUGAGGUUAGAAACGCAUAAACGGGCAGCCUGGGAAUUAUCGGGAGUUUGUUCUUUAUUUUAAGAGCAUUGAGUUGUGAGGUCUGGUCUAAAUUGUAUUUCUUCCUAAUAAGUAAAUAAGGUCGAGAAUUUUCAGCGGACGCUUCUUAAGGACCGUAGUCCUAACUAGUGACAACUAUAUUAAGAAAAAGAAAUGCUGAGAAUCUGGAAAAAGAUUUGUAUGGUCUAAGACGUCUAUUCCCAGGUUAAAAGACUGACAAAACACACUGUCACGUAUCUUACGGUUCGUAGUGAAUCCAGGGACGCAAAAUGGACGUCGAAUCUAGAGUCCUCUAUUAAAGUAUUUAUGGGAGGACAAGUUCAAUAUUUAAACGUCGCUCGAGGUUAUGUUUCAACGUCACGUUCCCCGUGACACACAUAAGUUUCCGGAUCCUUUGUUUCCAGGUAUUCCUACCUACUGGUAUGUGUAUACAUUCGCAAACGUCACUAUAAAUUAAGAAUUUCGUGGAACCCGACAACUUAACGUCAAUAACGUUAUUUCCUUUGACUAAAUGAAAGCAAGCAAAAAUCUUUUAAGAUUGACAUCGAUCUUGAGAGUAUCUAUUAAAUUUACUUUCCUAUUGUUUUCGUCAACGUAACUUCAAGUUUCAGGUUAUAGCUUGGAUCGAGUGCGCCCUACUUGCACGGCCCUGCGAUUUCUCAAUGGCUCUUCUGAUGUCCCCGCGUUAUCGCUUCUUUAUGAAUACUUACGCACGGAGUAUAUACAUAUAUACACGGCCAUUGUCGAGCACGCGCGGAUGGAAUACAUUACGUUAUGAAUGAAUCGGAUUGGCCGACGUAGCUGAAAGUCGGGACAGGUACGUAUGCGCGUAUACGUAAGCAGUCGGAGGACUUUCUAGGAAUUGCGUAAAAACUGCCAUCCUGGGUGCGCGUAACUCGGCACCUACGCGACUACCAAUUCCAACAUCCACGUAGACUAGGACUCGAAGGGGGAUAGUACCGGGUGUAAUAAAUAUUCCUGAUAAUAAAUUAGUAUGAAUACGGUUCCUCCUUGAAUUGUCCUCCUUCCUUGUGGAUUGUCCCACCUGUUAAGAAUUAUAUGAGAAUUCCUCCAAGCGAGAAGUCCAGCUUGUGGACAGUCGUGACAAUUCAAAUAAAUAACGGAUACAGCAUGAAUCCAUUUGGACAACAAUGGAGACAAUUUUGUUAAUUCAUGGUCGAUUAUCGCUAACCAAUAUCAAAGAACUGAUUAAUUGCAUUGUGAAGGGUGAAUUGGAACCGACGGUCCUGCAGUUCGGUUCGUAGCGGUCUGAAGGAGAUUGCCAUAAAAAAGAUAUUGAAAAAAGCUCGAUAAGUCUCACAAAAAAAUUAUCAUAUCAAAAAGACCGACGGAAUGGAGAGAUACAAAAAAAAGUGACUGCUGAUUCAGACAGUGUUACCUUAUUCGUCAUUGUACAUGAAUUUGAUUAAGACGGCCACAAUGGAUCGAAUUACAAUGAAUGAUCUCACAAAAUUAAUCAAUACAGUGAGAAGGAUUUUACGUUGGGCGAGACAAAUUUUUUUUAAAGGAAGGAUGCGGAUUUCCGAAUCGUGAAAAUAAGGCGCGUACAAGCCGAAAAACUCAGCGAAUAGAAAUAGGAAAUUAAGCUGACGUAACAACCAAUGAAUAAACCAUCCAUACACCGCCGUAGACGAGCUAUCCCGACUGGAGUCUUCUUCCACCACGUUAAAGGAUGACUAUCCGUACUCUCCUAAUCAGGAUACUCACAAUGGUCGGAUUACCCCCGUGGUAGCAGACAAGAAGUCACGUCUUAAGGACGACCGUCAGGCAAGGUGGAUUUCCCCCAGGGAAGAGAGAGCCAGAAGCUGGUGCCACGUGAAGCGUGGAAUUCUUCGACGGUUUCUUUUUACGCGGAUCCGAACGCCUACCUGACCACAAUCCUCGCGCAACCCACUUCACGCUUGGGAUCAAUUCCCCCGUUAAAAGGAACAUUUGGAAAUUAUGGGGUAAAUGGUUACCCGCUUGAUCAAUAUUUUUGACUAUUGUGAUAAAGAAUAAUUUUGUCAGUAAGAAUAUAUAUAUAUGCUAUAUCCAUUUAUAUUUAUUAUUAGAAUUGAAAAAAAAUCCAUGAUACCCAUUGGCUAGCCUCAGCCCCCGGUGUUCUAUGGUGUACACGGAGCGUCGAGAGGCGGGAAUUUCAAAAGGAGUUUAAUAAAGGAAAAAAAAGACAGAAAUAACGCAGAAAUACCUGAGCAAUAAAAUAGGAUGGACAGGAUCGACGAUCGUGAUCGGGUAGGUUAAUUGUUUGAGCAAUUAAAUCACGCAGCACGCUCGGGGUCUGCUCGGGGUCUGCUCGUGGUGUAUGUCAGUGAGUAUAUUCACACGUGUCCCAAGGCAUUUGUUCGUGUCUCAAGGCGCAUUCGUAUUGUGUAAAUAAUCGACGACACGGAGUGUACACUGUAACGCGUGAGAGAGGAAAAUAUAUAUAUAAAGAGAAGCAUAUGGAGAGAGCGUUGGUACAGUCCCAACGCAAAUAGCAGCCCUCGUGUUUACGUACAAGGUGCGGCCACAGCCUAAUAACCCGAAUGUAACCGGACACACGAAGACAAGAAACACAUAUCGCGUGUGGGAGAGACUGAGCGGGAGAGUGAGACCAUAUGUAAAGUUGGGGAAUGAGAGAGAGAGAGAGAGAGAGAGAUAAAGAGAUAGAUGGCACGAGAGUGGACACGAGGAGAGGGGAGAAGCAAAACUACUAAAUAUUUAAAGACAAGUUGUCCGGGUGUGUGUCGUGAAAGACUUCGAAUACGCGUGAAACGGACACGGGCCGCGACCGAUUCGAUUGGAUCGGCUUGGAUUGAGUACUGGAUAAGGUCCGGUUCGGAUAUUCCUGUUUAAUUUCUUUUUCGUUCAUCCUUUUCUUUAAUGAGUUUCUUUAGAUUGUCUGUCCCGGUCUCCAUGACAGUGUCUUGCCGGUGAUUGAAGCAGCGUCCAGGAGU